CGCACAUUGCGCCCUUUGGCAUUCCGAGGGGCAUGCCCGUUCGAGCGUCAUUAAAUCCAAUCAAGCCUGGCUUGGUGUUGGGCGUCGGGACCCCUCCCGCGCCCCAAUUUCGUCGGCUAACCGUUGGCCCAAUACUAUCGUGUUGUGACCUUUGUAUUUCACGAUAUGAGGGGCGGACCAUGCCGUUAAACAUAUUCAAUUACGAUUGAUCAAGGUUGACCUCGGAUCGGGUAGGAAUACCCGCUGAACUUAA
rnacentral:misc_RNA from 1 species